CUCCUAUUUAAGAUGGAGUUGCUCAGGUUCACACGCCUCUGACAGUGCCACCUAUCUAUUUCACCAGCCUCCUGGUUUCCUUUGGAUAGAGAAUUUUCAGCGCAUUCUUUGCUUUGGUGAAUUACCAGAAUUCUGAACUGGCUUAUUUUAGUUGUUUUGCAAGUAAUUAUCCUCUAAAAAAUAGUUCUAUACUGGCCAGGACUUUGCCUUCUAAUUAGUAUAAUGGCAUUUAUAAAUGUUAUUAAGUAAAACUUAUGCAACUAUCUAAGCAGUAUCACCCUUAAUAAAGUAAAGUGAAUCUGAGGUCCCAGAAGACUGGAAGAAAAAGAGAACAAACUUAAACUAAAGCACAAAAUGACUGCUUUACCUGAGUGUCACUACUAAGGCCAUCUC
rnacentral:lncRNA from 10 species